ensembl:lncRNA
CUCAUAUUUGAGUGAAGAGAAACAGGAAGUGUCCCUCUUUUCCCAUUCCUCCUCCAGCAGCGCAAUGUGAUCCACCAGCAAGGAGGGAUGCCAAUAAGGCUUCCGAUAAGUGAAGCAACAGCCAAUCAAGACCUUGGUGCAGACACUUUGUGAAGAUGAACACGGCAAGCCAGAGUUCUUCAACACUGAUGCUGUUGAUGUUUUAGACCAGAAGGUAAGGUGAGAAAGCCUGCUUUCUUCUGAGACUCAUGCUUUAUGGGAAGAUCAGAGAAGACAUGAGAGGCCUGUGCUAAGGACUUGGAUUCUGGAGCUAGACUGGAGAUCUGAGGCUCAGUUAUCUAAGAAGUUGAGUGACCUUUUCAAAGCUUUUACCCUUCUCAUGUCUGCGUUUUCUCCGAAUAACACGGGACUAGAGGAGGUAAUAUGUAUGGGUGCUUAGGACUACACUCAUUGACUAGAAAUGAUAAAUCAAUAUUAAAAGAUGAAAAGAAAACAUUUAUAAGAAAAAUGGAGACCUAAGUUGAUUAGAAAUUCUGUAACCUCCUUAGUGUAAUUAAGCCACAUAUAUUUAACAACUCCUGCCAUGUCCGAGACACACCACACAUAAAGUUUGAUAUACUGUAGGUGAAACUGUGACCUUUUAAGUGGAGAAAUUUGCUACAGUUUCUUGAUACAAAAUAUUUGGCCCAUGAAUAGACAUCAGCUCUAUCUUCAUUGUUAGAGACAAAUUUGUUGAAAUUGUGUCUUUACUCAACAUGGCUGCCAUCACCUGGAUAUUUAUCUUCAUCUCACCUCAGAGCUCAUAAAUUUUCAUUGAAUUUCUUGUUCAUUAGAAUGAUGUGGUCAGGAUUUCCAAACUGUUAGAGCACAAGCAAGACUGACUGGAAUACCACAAGAACCAUUUUUAUGAUUCUUGGUGGGGCAAAAAGCAAGAAGAAACACAAAGAAAUAACUGCCUGAAGCUCAAAUCCUCUGAGCCUAUUUAAGUUUUUUUUUUUUUUAAUUCAGAACUAGAAACACAUAGGGAAAUUUAGCUAUAACCCAAAGCACUGUCUAACUGAAGCAAUAUAUUUUUAUAGUUUAAAUUAAAAAAGAAAUGGGCAGGAGGCAUGCUUUUGUUAUUUCCUAUUAUUGUGAGUCCAGGUACUUGGGGUUCACAGAAACUACUGCUAGGCCUUCUUAUACACAUAAGUUCAUGCUGAGUUCUUGUCGGUAGAAAGAAGUUAGUGUUGGGCUGGGAGAUGGCUCAGUAGUUAGAGCACUGGGUGCUCCCCAAGAGGACCUGGGCUUGAUUCCCAGCAUCCACAUGGUGGCUAACAACUUUCUAUAACUUCCAUUCCAGAGCAUUGGAUAACACCUUCUAGUCUCAUGUCACCAUGUAUGGAGAUAGAUGCAGGCAAAACACCCAUACAAAUAAAAUACAAUAAUGUUAAAGUGAAAAAGAAGUUAGUUAUUAAAUAUUCCAUCUUAUACAAGAUAUAUAGCAAAUCUCACUUGGACGUUAUCAUUUUUAUAGUAACAGUCUGUAUCUUCUGCUUUAAGACCCUAGUGCUUAAUAUAAGAUUUAAUUGCAUAGAGCAAAUACAAACUGUCUGAAAUAGCUCAUGAGUUUCAGUAUGACUUGAGUGAAGUUGUGUGUAGUAUGACCUGGGCCAAAUUCAUCAAGAUCUUUACAAUGACCCAUUUUGGGACUCUCUUCUAGGAACAUGGAUUCUAUCCAGGAUUGGACACACUGAAAUGCAUUUCUUUUUUCUUGUCAUUUACAUGCCAAUCCCAGUUCCCUCUCCCUCUCCUCCACCCCUGUACCCCACCAACCCCCAUCCCAUCCCCUUUCUGCUCCCUAGGGAGGGUGAGACCUUCCAUGGGUGAUCUUCAAAGUCUGUCAUAUCAUUUGGAGCAGGGCCUACACCUUCCCCAGUGUGUCUAGGCUGGGAGAAUAUCCCUCUAUGUGGAAUGAGCUCCCAAAGUCCAUUUGUGUACUAGGGAUAAAUACUGAUCUACUACCAGAGGCCCCAUAGAUUGCCAAGGCCUCCAAAUUGACAUCCCAUGUUCAGGGUGUCUGGAACAGUUCUAUGCUGGUUUCUGAGCUGUCAGUCUGAGGUCCAUGAGCAACCCCUUGUUCAGGUCAGCUGUUUCGGUGGGUUUCUCCAACCCGGUCUUGACCCAUUUGCUCAUCACUCUUCCCUCUCUGCAACUGGAUUCCAGGAGUUCAGUUCAGUGUUUAGCUGUGGGUGUCUGCUUCUGCUUCUGUCAGCUACUGGAUGAAGGCACUAGGAUGGCAUAUAAGGUAGUCAUCAUUCUCAUUACAGGAGAAGGGCUUUUAAGGUAGCCUCUCCACUAUUGCUUAUAUUGUUAGUUGGGGUUAACCUUGUAGAUCUUUGAACAUUUCUCUAGUGCCAGAUUUCUCUUUAAACCAUGCAAUUUGUCUAUUCUACAGGUAUCUAUGGAGGGAUGGCCUCUAGUUUCAAUUAUUCUAAAACUUAUUCUUUGUGGUUUUGGAAUUUAUAUAGAGAACUUGGAAGCAGUGGUGCAGGACUGUUAGUCUUGUACCAGCAGAGCGAUGUUAUGCAGAGUUCAGUGUAUCAAUCAGUCACACACACAUUCGCUACAAACUGUACUUCAGAAAAUGGGCCCCUUCUUCCACCUGCAUUUAUAAUUUGGUUUCUCUAACCUAAAGUAAAUAUCCAAGUUACCAUUUCUUAUUAUCUUUGAGUUACUAGGAAAUGGGCUGAGUCAUUUUUAGCACAGUUUUCUUCCGCAAAUGCAUAAGAAUACGUACACUUCCUCAGAGGUUGUGCAUUUACUGAGAAAACUGGUGAAUUCUUCUCAUUGUGAGCCCAUUCUGGUUAUGCUGAUAGAUUCUUAAAAGAUGGAUAAUUUCACUGCAGCUGUGUCAGGCAAAUAUAGGUUUUGCUUAGCUUGGGACCCUGGUGUGUGGGUCUGGCCCCAGAUCUGAUGUUGCUUACUUUUCUGUGUCCUAUAUUUCUCUAUUAGAACAUUUAGCACAACAGAGAGGGUUUGAUUCUGCUGUUAAUUAUUAUAAAAUUUUUCUCAACUACACUUUAUAGCUUUAAUUCCCCAGGUUCCUAAUUUAUUGCCAAAGGCUUAUUCUCCUUCAGUGCAGGCUCAGAAAAUGCCAUCCCUAUUGCCAGUGACCGGAUAGGGCUUUGGCUUUCUCUUUGAAAUUUCUCCUGGCUUUGUGUCCCCUUGUCUUUGCCUGGUGGUAAGAAGUUGUUAGAGAUAGCCCUGGCUUUUUGGCAGGGAAAGAACAGCUUCCAGGCUAAGUGAUACCUGAAAAAAAUCUACCCACUGCGCUGAAGUAAUUUCUUUCUGAUGCUCCGAGAGUGCCAGAUCAUUCUAAACCUUUGUGGCUAUAGCAGCCCUGGGUUUAAUUGCUUUGUGUGUUCUCCAAAUGACAUUAAAGGAAACAGGAUGAAGCCAAAUGGAGAAAGCCAGGGUUUGAUCUCCUAUUUAGCAAGGAGACUUGAAUGACAGUCUAGGUUUUCCCAUUCUUUUUCUUUUUACAGCAAUUUUAUUCUUGUCCCUAUGUUCAAUUUUUCUUUUCAUUUUUUUUUCAAGUUUAAAAUCUCUCAUAUGUUUCCUGAAGGAGGCAACCCAGUCUAUUUCUUUUACAUAAAAGAAAACGUAGACAUGUGUGUGUUUGAUCUCGAGUAACUGCAUUGCAGUGGAUGCUGAAACAGACUGGUGUUUUGAUCUUAAUUCACACCUCUUGCAAAGGACAGGGAGGUAUUUUACUGAAAUAAAUGUAUGAAAUGAGAGUAAAUUAACAAGCAUCACAUCAGCUCGAGAUGCAGCAAAAUGGGCACUUAGUUUGCAAUGUGCUCAUCUUUAUAAUUGAGAAACACUAUUCAAACACAAAGGAGUGUGCUGAUUGGGAAACCAUCAGAAAUUAAAGAGAUCAAUUUGAUUUCCACUCUAUUAUUAUGCCCAUCAUUUUACAUUACACUGGGAAUAACUUGAUUUCAUACUUCAAUUGAGGAACAUGUAUUUGGGACUUCUAUUUUUAGUGGUAAAGACUAGGAAGACCCUGGUGAUGCAUGCCUAUGAUCUCAGUUCUUGGGAAACUGAAGUAGGAGGCUCAGGAGCACAAAGCCAGCCCUGGGGAACAGAGAAAGACCCUGUCUCUAAAGACAACCAACUAACUGACCAACCAACCAAUCAACCAACUAAUCAAACAAAUAAGUAACUGAAAAAUUAAAGGUGAGACAAGUUUUAACUAGUCAUGGUCUUCAGAAUUAUAUAUUUGGGAGACAAUUUGUUGAACUUAACUUUUCUCUAAUGAAGUUUCACUAUCUUAUUUAUGCUUAUUGAAUUGAUGUCUUCAGAGAAUAAGAGAAAGAAAUUUAAUUAUUCACUUUCCAUUUACCUUUGGUUUUACCACUUUGUCAGGAGGGGAAUGAAAUACCACUGUCUGAAUAUGAUUCAAAAACAAAACAUAUAUUCUCAAAGCAUGAUGUAGUUUUCACUUGAAACACUGAGAGAGAAUCAAGCUGUUUUCUAGAGAGAACAAUUGAAUGCUUUAAAAUGUUUCAGGGGCAUAGGAUUUAAGCUCAGUUGGCAAAGGGAUGAUUUUCAACAUAGAAGACAAUGGAAUGGGGGUGUGCACUGUAGUCCCAGCACUCCAGAGGUGGAGACAAGAGGAUCAGAAGCCCAAGGUCAUUCUUGAGCUGCACUGUGAGGGUGAGUCUAGCCUGGCAUAAAGAGAUUCUGUGUUUUAAUAAACAUCCAGACUUGGUGGUUUGAAGUGAAUUUUUUUAAUAGAAAUGAUUAUUUUGGACUCAUUUAGCACAAUAUUCUUUUAAUGACAAAUUGUGAACCUGCUCAUCUGGACCCAUUUGACAGCUGUCUAUAAAAAUCAUCUUAAGUGAAGUUCAGACUUGUUUAAAAGGAGAACUGGAUGACAUUAGACUGCAAACCUACUCUCAAUAACAUCUGGUAAGCAAAUGUCUUUGAGUGGCACUUUGAAGACCAUUCAGUGAAGCCGGAUGAUAAUUAAGCUAAUAUCUUGAAUUCACAGCACAAAUUUCAAUAUAUCUUAAAGUUCCCAAGAUGUGUUAUUUCUAGACUGCUCAUAGGCACCUGAUAUUUGUCAUGAUGAUCUUGAUGCCUUUGAAGAUAUUAUAAAGUUGUUUUUGCUGCGUGAUCCGAAGUUUUAAAUGUAUCCAUGGAGUAUUGGGACCACCACCAGAAUAAAUUUGGGACCACCACCAGAAUAAAUUUUGUAAUAUAUACAUAAAUCUGGAAAGCAAUCUCAAAUCAAUUAGCAGUUACCUCUUCAUCAGAUUUCAGCAGUAACUAAUCAAUUUUCUGUGUCCAUAAACACCAUAAACACAGCUGUACAUUUUGUCUAAAUAUGAAUAUAUAUAUAUAUAUAUAUAUAUAUUAUAUAUAAAAUUUCUUGUGACUUCUUUCUUACACUCAUUGUAAGAUACUUUCAAGGCUUAUCCACAUUGUAAAAUGUGUUAGAGCUUUCUUCAUGUGUGGCUGUAUAACAAGCCCCUAAAUGGCUAAGCUAGAUUCACUUUUUUUUUGUUCAUUCUAUGAUCAGUAUGGAUUUGACUAUUUCCAUCCAUUCUUGGCUAUUUGGAUUAUGCUGUUAUUAUGUGCCAGUUUUUGACUGGACAUUUUUAUUUCUCUUGAAUAUAUGCUUGAGAAUGGGGUUCAGAUUAUAAGAGCCUGGUUCUUAUUUUGAGGGGUUACCAAACUAUUUUCUAAAGUGGAUAGAUUUAACUUGUUUCAAAUUUUAUUGUACCUCUACUUUCAAAAGUGAUUUAGGUCAAUUUCUUCUAAGUGCUGGAGUUGGCAAUGUGAUUCCUAUGUGUCUUUAAAAUGAUCACACUGCUUUGGCUCACAGAAUGGUGCAAACAAUUACCAUAAUUGCAAGUUUUCCUUAUCAUAGAGUUACAAAACAGUUGAGUAGUGCAUGCACAUGUGUGCGUGUGCGUGUGUGUGUGUGUGUGUGUGUGUGUGUGUGUGUGUGUGUGUGUGUAAUGUAUGGUGUGUUACAUAAGCACAUGUUUAUACACUUUAUGUCAAGACCAGAGUAAAAUAUCUGUCUAUCUUAUUGCCUUGAAUCAGAGUCUCUCAUUUAACCAGAUGUCCACUUUUUAAGAUAGUCAGGCUGGGGGUAUCUACCUGUUUCCUUCCAUCAAUACUGGGGUUAUAGGCACAGCCAGCCUUUUUACAUGGAUGUUGGAGAUUUGAACCCAGGGAUUGAUCCUUGCAUAGCUAUUGCCUACUGAUCCAUCUCUUUAUACUCCUUCCCUAUUAUAUGGCUUUUAAUGCAAGGUGAUGCUAUAAGUACUUGGAAUCUUGUUAGACCUUUUGCUCUAUGUGCUCAACUACCCUGAAGUGCUGGAGGUUAAUCUUGUCCCAGCAAGGACUUAGGGCUGCAAACAGAUCUUGAACAUUCCCUAUAAAAGAAACAGUUGAAUGAGAUGAUGGGACAGACUUAAUUGAGUUUCUAGGGGAGGCUUUAACCUCUCCAAAGAGCAGAUGGAAGGUGGGGGGAAUUGGGGGAGUAAUAGAAGAGGAGGGAGGGGGAACUGGGAUUGGAAUGUAAAACAGACAUUAACAAAAAUAAAAGUAAAGAAGAAUUAAAAAAGAAGCAGUUGAAGAUGCUAUCCAGGGAUAUUUUUAUAGUUUGCUUUGUCUAUAUGCCUUAUGAGAAGAUAAAAUAAAGCUUGAGAAUUAUUAAAAGUGUGUAAAAUACUUAGAAAGUUAGAGCUGAAGCUGGAGUAACAUGGAAAGAAACUUCCUCUGGGCUGAAUAACAUCUGUAGAGAUGAAGGGCGCUCACAGAAACAAUGAACUGUGUUACACUCUGAGGUAUUGCAGUGACUGCUGGCUUUGAACAGUCUAAACAACUCUGAAAUACUUAUUCUGGAUAGACCACUGUGGUGGUCCCUAUGGUUUCCUGCAGAGGGCUGUAGGUACUGACUGUUAAUGAGGGCAUGAGAGACUUCCUACUUUCCAGUCAUGGAGGAGCAGUUUUCUGAACAGCAUGAGGCUCCAGAGACUCAGGACCAGCUGUCUUAAGCAGCUUGUAAGAAAGAGUCACCUGGGGCUAUUGCUGACAUGAGAAGCCACUGAUGAGAAGAGCCAGUGUCUAUGGAGGACUUUCUCCAAGAAUAGUCUGCAAAGCCAUUGCCCUCAGCAUCUUCUCCUGGGACAAGAAUUUUAAGUAACAAUUUGGAGAGCACUUAGUCUCUUGAUGGUAUUGUCCAGCCUCUGCCAGUUGAGCAAAUCACUUCAAGAAGAAAGUUGCUAUCUGUUCCUUGUAAUUCCCAUAGUAACAACACUGGGCUUUUAUUUUUAAAUAAUUUUUCUGUAUCAAAACCAAGCAGUUAGUGACUUAUUUAGAGAACAUGCAUGGAAUCUGUCUGUUCCUCCUCAAGAAUAGAAUAGAUAAAAGUUGUGCCUGUCUAAAUUGGUGCACAAGUGCUUAUGAGCUAAAGUAGUAGACAGUAAGGAUACCACUAAAUCCUGAGUUGCUCAAGAUUGUCCCUCCCUCCUCAGUAGACUCAGCCAGCCUCAAUGUCGGCAAUAUGAGAAGAAUAUAAGAAGGACUGAGAUAAAAAGCUUCCACAAAAGUUUAGUUAUGACAAUGUAUUUGUCUACUUUGGAAAGUAAACUGUUGAUACUGCUAUAGGAUGGAUAAAACUAAACAAAAUGAAACUAGAUGCAUCAUGCAGGAUCUUAGAGUUUUGAUCUCAUCUCCAAUACUUUUGGUCUACACAACUUUAAGAAGGUGACUCAUUCUUUCUGAUCCUUUCAUUAUGGAAUGUAAGUACUAGCUACUUUUAAAGACUGAAAACUCAGGCUUUCUGUUAGGAUUAGUGAAGUGGUAAAAAGAAACACCACACAGGAUCAAAUGACAUUAGCAUUUUUCUUUGCUAUAAUGAAGUCUGAGAGUUAUGAUUCUACCUGAGAUUGCAGAAAAGGAUUGUUUUCUCAGCCUAUUAAAGCAGUAAAAGGUAGAAAAGACGUGUUAUUGUAAAGGGAAUCCUGGCAUAAUCACCUUAUGAUACCAGGGGACUCAGGAUCCCUCUUGGAGUAUUUAGUCUCAUUAAUGAAAAGUAGAAUGGACUCAAAUGGAAGCUCAAGCAGAAUUUGAUAGUAAAACCUCAGAACAGGCAAGCUCUAUUUCACACAGCUGCCAAGAGUAGAGGAAGAAAAGGAGAAGCAAACAAGGGGAAAAAAACAACCCAUGCCAUUUAGAUAAACAGAUAUAAAGGUUAGCCACAUGCUGGAGAGAGGAGCUGUAGGAAGACAGUGAGAAGCCCAAAGUACUAGGGAAUUUAAAAGCAUAUGUAGGCCCUGGCAAACAACAACAGAAAACAAAGAAACAUAAAGAAAUAGGAGUAGAACUCAGGGGAGUCUCAUGGUAGUUCCUGGGGACUGGACUAGGGGUUCUGGGAACGAAAAGCAUAUUUUUUAAAAGUCACUCACCUUUUCUAGGGGUGUUCCUGUAUCUGGGUCCAUGAAAUGCCCACAAUAAAUUAAUUCUUAAGAAGGAGAUAUAGUUAUUUACUGUAACAAUUACCAUACUCCAGGAAUCCAGUUGUAGAGAGGGAGGAAGGAUGAGCAAAGGAGCCAAGACCGUGCUGGAAAAACCUACAGAACCUACAGUUGACCUGAUCUAGUGAGAGCACGGAGACCCUAGUCAUGAAGCUGGGGAACCAGCAUUGGACCCAAAGAAAGCCCUCUGAAUGUGGGUGCCAGUUAGGAGGCAGUCUGGAAAGUCUACGGGAACUCUAACAGUGGAGCCAGUGUUUAUCCCUAGUGCACAAAUGGACUUUGGGAGCCCAUUCCCUAUGGAGGGAUACUAUUGUAGGCCAGACACACGGAGGAGGGCCUAAGCCCUCCCCCAAAUGAUGA